rnacentral:rRNA from 1 species
AUGCACGAGAUGGCGCCAUCCAAGCCCGCCGCCGCCCUGCUCCUCGCCUUGGCCGUCCUGCUCGCGGCCGCGCAGCCGUCUUCCGCCAUCAGAGUCAAGCCCGCGUGCGCCCCGAUUGUUAAGCCAUCGCCACCUCCCCCCGCAGCUUCCCCACCGCCGCCGCCGACCCCGGUGAUCAGCAACCCACCCCCAUCUGUCCCGUCUGUCCCAGCUUCCCCGCCGCCACCGAGCCCAGUGAUCAGCAACCCACCGCCAUCCGUCCCUGCUUCCCCGCCGCCGCCGAGCCCAGUGAUCAGCAACCCAACCCCAUCCGUCCCUGCUUCUCCACCGCCGGCCACCCCACCACCAGCCCCGGCCUCGCCCGCUACCCCGCCGUCCCAGCCCACGGAGUGCCUGACGCCGUUGAUGGGACUGACGCCAUGCAUGGGCUACCUGACCAACACCAGCGUGGCGACGCCCCCGGCCGCGUGCUGCGGCGCCUUCAAGUCCCUGGUGGACAACGCCCCCAUCUGCCUCUGCCACGGCCUGAACGGCGACAUCAACAAGAUCAUGCCCGCCCCCAUGGACUUCAUGCGCAUGAUGUCCCUCCCGGGAAACUGCGCCGUCCCGCUGCCAAUGCAGACGCUUGCACAGUGCGCCACGGCGCCGGUGCCACCACUGGACCCUCCUACCGCUCCAGCAGCCCCAUCUCCAAAGCCAUGA